rnacentral:lncRNA from 1 species
GGUGACUCCGCAAACUCCUUUUGAAAAAACUCUCAUCAUAUCAGGACUGUUUUACUAGCUGUUAGACCACCAUUGUACUGGCUACUGUAACAUUUCUUGGUAUUCUUUCUUGACUUGAACUAAUUAUUUCCUACUUGCCACACUAAAGUCCCCAAAAAGACCAUGAAGGCCUGAGAGUAAUGAAAAUCUUCCUGAAAUUGAGGUCACUGUGGAAGCCUCAGCUGAGAUGUCUCACCUCACUCUCUAUGAUGCAACGAGAAGCCCCUUGGGAGCGUUUCAGUCCCACUCUAUACUCCUGUCAUUGUGCUCAUCACAGUCUGGUAAGUGUUGACAUACGAUUCCUAUAUUAGUCCAUUUUCCAUUGCUAUAAGGAAACACCUGAGGCUAGGUAGUUUAUAAAGAAAAAAGGUUUAUUUGGCUCACAGUUCUGCAGACUGUACAAGUAGCAUGGUUCCAGGCUGGGCCAUGGCCCACACCUGUAACCCCAGCACUUUGAGAUGCUG